UUACGGCCACAUCACGUUUAAGCACUAGUUCCCGUACGAUCACCGAAGUUAAGCAACGUCAAUCCUGGUCAGCACCAAGAUGGGUGACCUCUUGGGAAUACCAGUUGCUGUAAG